rnacentral:sRNA from 1 species
UUUUUUAUCGUCUUUUUAUU